rnacentral:lncRNA from 1 species
GUGUAUUUGGUGUUGUGUGAACCAUUUGAGGUGUCACACUUGGGGCACUAGGCACUCAAGCUUCAUGAAGACUUUCUACAUCAAAGAGGUAUGUAUUCUAUCUUGUUACACUCAUUGUUUUGUAUGCUAGAUUAGGAUAAUACCUUGGAAGUUCUUAUUUGCAUGUAUAAUAGAGAAAACAUAGAUCCAAGGUAUUUAGGGUUGCAUGUACACUUAGGAGUGUUAGAAUGCUCAAAACCCAACAGUGGUAUCAGAGCCUAGGCUUGUUUUCUUGUUAUACCUGCAAUAGAAGCUGAAAAAACGAAUCUGGUGCUGUCUGGCCAUCAGACUCGGCGAGUCCAUCAGGAGACUCGGCGAGUCCAUGCCUAAAAAGUGAUGAAUUCGAUCCAACUCGCCGAGUUGGUUCAUGCACUCGACGAGUUGGACCCCCAGACAGCAUAUUUUCGAGUUUUUUGGCUAGAAAUGGACUAGGAACAUUACCCUAAGUUGUUUUUGAACUUAUAAACUUGUUUUUGAUGUGGUAAUGUUCAUGCUAAUCCAUUUUCAAAGAUAAUUGUCAAUAGAUUCAUGUUUUGUAUUAGUUUAAGGUUUAGACUAAUUACAUGAAAAAGUUUGAUUUGAAUUAUCUUGUUCUUAUGAGUUGCUUAGAUUAAUAGAAAAGUUGAGUGAAAUAGUUGUUUUCAAUCCAAAUUAAUCUAAGAGUUGAUUCUAAAAUGUGUUUUUGUAACUUGUCCUCAAGUUAUAUGAAAAGUCACAUUUAAGUUUCAUAAAACUCAUAAAAGUUGGCAAAGGUUACAAAAAAUGAAGAGUCUUGUCCUUAAGUUAUGGAGGUUCAAGAGUCACUUCAUUAAUAAAUAAAUAAAUAAAGUGUAACCUUAAUUAAUUCCAUAAGUUAUAAAAUAAAGAAAAGUUAAUUCUUUUAUUAGUUUAAAGUCUUCCAUAACUUGUCCUCAAGUUAUGGAACUUGAAGAGUUUUUGGAUUAAAACUACUUUAAACACAUAAGUUAUGGAAUUAAUUAGUUUUGAAUAGUUUCAAAACUUGCCCUCAAGUUUUGGAAUUUGAAAAGUUUUCACUUAUGAAUACUUUAAUUCCAAGUUAGCCCUUAGAAUUUUAAAAGUUAAAAUUCAACCCUUAUACUUUAUAAUAUUAUAAGUUAAUAAUAUAUAUAUGUAUAAGAGUAAAGUCAGUCUUACCGCUAGUACGCCUCAUUCACGAAGCCGGUCUAUAAGGUGGGUAUAAGGUUGUUGCCUAUAAAAUGGCAACUUAAUGGGUGUCCACUCUCACCCACCGCUUGCUUGACUGGUGGAGGGUCGUUAGCCGAACGGGUUUGACAGGACUAGAAUUCUCCCUUCAUUAAAAGUAUUAAUGAUAAUACUAAGUAACUAAACUCUUAAUAAUACCCAAUCUUAGUUACUUAGGAAAAAUGUGAAUAAGGUGCUAAUCCAUGAAAUUACACUUUACACUUUGUCUAAGUCGUUAGUGGAGCGUGUGUGGUUAACCGGCACACUAACUUGGACUUAACAAGGUAGGUAAAGGGUGACUUAAUAUUUAUCAUAGUAUCGAUGGAGCGUGUGUGGUUAACCGGCACAUCGAUUGAGGGGUAAUUUAUUAAGGGUACCAAGUGAUUUGCAUGGUUACUUCACACCUUGUUUUGUGAUCCUCGGCAUCCCAGUCACAAAACCUGAAGGGCACACUCGAGAUUGAAACAUGCCUUUGAAAAGUUCAAUGAAUCUCAAAGAUCUAGGAGUUUCAAAACCAAUUAAAACCUAAUAAUACAUUUCGUUUAUCUUGGUGGAAAUUGGUGAAUCGUCAUUCACCUACCUUCAAAUAUUUUAUAGCUUGGAUUACGGCAUACCUCUUCUAAGUUAUAAAAUAGUUUGUUGGGUCCUAGCCUUAAUAUUUCAUAUUGGGUGUCAUAUUAAGGACUUUAAAUCAACUAUCUUGAAUAUCUCCCAAAAGAUGUCUGGUUUAGACACCUAUGAUCUUCCCAAAUCUCUUGAAACAAGGUUUCCUAAUGAAGAUGAUGUCCCAUGGAUAUCAUACUUCUUCACCUCUUCAAAUUAUUCUCCCUAACCCACAAGUUCUUGAAAAGUUUAAGGUCACUCAGGCCCUAUUGGCAAGGCAAGGUCUAGGUGUGGUCACAUCUUGGAGAUGUAGUCACAUAUUGACAAGCCGGGAGAGUUGGGUGUCAAAGUCUUGAGAAAGUUGGUGGUUCAACCACUUUCUAAGUCACAUAGUGAGUUCCUUUGGGACACCUAUGAAACAGACUAUGACAAGACCCUUAAUGAUCUUAUCUAUUUGCUAAGAUCAACUUCCUAAAACUUUAUGGACAUUGACAAUGAUGACAUUGGAUAUCCAGUAAAGCAUUCUCUUCCCAAUGGAAAGGGAUCGGCCAUAGUCAACUCGGUUGACCAAAUGGUAAAGAGAAAAGCUAAGUCUGUGAUAGUCUCGUGUACCAUUAUCAAAGGGUCCAUAUGUUUAUAUUGCCAAAGGAAGGGGCAUUGGUUGCGAAGCUGCCAAAUUUACCUAAGGAUGUUAAAGUCAAUAAGUUUGACUCUACUUCAGGUAAAGUCCACUAUCUAACUCUGUUAAGUUUCUAUUCUGAGAUUCUUGAUACAUGAUGUGACUGGGUCACAUGGUGAUGUUUUAAGAAUCAAAGAAAAGUGAAGAAACUUAAAGAAAGAAUAUGCUGAAUCUGAUGGCGUAGAUGGAUUUCUAUCGCAUAGUUUGAAGAUCGGAUUCUUGAGCUACUUCUUAGGAGUUAUGAGAUAUUGCUUAGGAAUAGAUAACAACAAGUUUUCAUAUGGAUUGUAAGGAUAAGUUUUUCCGCAAAGUUUUAAAAUAAAAGAAAAUUUUUUUUUUUAUUUAUUUUAAAAUAUCCUUACAAUGGCAUUUGAGGAAAAAUUGUUGCUUAUAUGAUUCCAUUAAGAGCAAGAGUGGAAAUAUGAAAUUGAUUCUUUCAUUUGUGGUAAUGUCUAAAUUUACCAAAUAAGGAAAGAUUCUCAUCACCCAAGUUUCAAUUGGACCGGAACUUGGAAUCAUGCAAGUUGUAUAGCAUGAUGAAUGAGAACUUUCAAGUUUUGGAAAAUUAAGACUAAUUACUUGUUCACAUGGAUGUGUGAGUCAAGUAAAGGACUUAGGGAUCGAGUACACAUUCUUGUGCACUGAUUAAGUCCACCACUAAAGAUCGAUAAGAAGAAUCAAAUAAGGCAGAAGGAUAAAAGUUUCUCAAAUCUGAAAAGAUGGGAGAGUACUUUAGUAUCAGUUUUGUGAUCAUCUUAAUGAUUAAGAAACCAUAUCAAAAUUAGUUCUCUAAGGAAAUCUUAGUGCAUUCUUAUGACUAAGAAGAGGAACUUGAAUUGUUGAAAUGGUUAAAUCAAGAAGAUGAGUCAUACUUCGUUCCAAUACAAGUCUUAGAGUCAUACUCCAAGAUUGUAAUUUGAGUGACAUGUCUUAAAGAAGGUUUAAAACACUUGUCAAAUGUAAGAGUAAAAGUUUUCUACUCUUGUACAUUUGAAAUUGGUAAGUUGUGAUAUUUUGGAUAAAACAAAGACCAACUUAGGCCAAUUGUGUGAAGUCUUUCUGUUGAUUAGAAUCCGCACUAUCUCUUGAAUAACUGACAAGAAAGUCUUAUAUGUCAAGAGGAAAGUGCGAGUCUUAAAGGUCUUGAAAGUCUCAAGAACUAAUCAACAAUAAAACCUGAAGUUCUUCAGUAGCACACGACUUGAGAUUUAUAACCUAUCGUGUUGACAUAUUCUGUGCCCAUUCCAGUUAAAGUUGGCUUUGCAUAAGAGUUCUUAGAGUUCUCAAUUUGUUGCACAUCAACGUGGAAGCAAUGGCAGGCCCUUGAGCUACCAGGUGGCAAGAAAUUAAGAUUGAGUUCAAUCCAUAUGAGUUUGGAUUUGUCAUUAUCCUUGCCUUGUGACUAUGGUUUUGACAAUUCACAUGGAUAAGAACACAUACACCAUUAAAUAUAAGUCUCAUAAGGUUUCUCUCCGAUUCAUGAAGAUGAUGGUGUGGAAACACUUUCACUAAGUAGAUUUUAGCUAGAUAGCAAUUGUGAUAUAUGCAUUCUCAAAGUCGUUAGUGGAGCGUGUGUGGUUUACCAACACACUAACCUGGACUUGUGAGAAGUGGCAAAAAAGUCUAACCAUUAUGAUUACGGCAACCCUCUUCAUAAUUGUUUAGACACACAAGUAUGCUAUCUAAGGGAAGGUGUACGAUUUUGAUAAAGUCUUAUCAAAACAAUCUAUAUCAGAAAUCUGAACUUUGGUAAGAAAGUCAGCUGAUUUCUGAGUACAUGUCAAAGCUAGUGGGAGCAUAAGUGUUAUGCUAAUAAUCAUCAUGUUAGUGGGAGCAUGAUAAUUAUGAUAAGUACUGCAAGUUAGCAAUGUUAAUUAUAGAAAACAAAAGUUUCAAUUGGGAAAAAGUUGUUUUGCUAUAAUUAAGGGAGAGGAAAUUAUGCUUCAUCUCAAAUCUAUAAGCUUAGAUCGUGAGGUUUUAAUCAUUUAGUCAAGGAUAUAUAUGAAUUUCAUGUUGGAAUGGCUCAACAUAAGGAAAUUCUGUAUAUGGGUCCAUUAUUUGCGUUCUAAAAUUCGAUUAUGAUUACGGCAUCCCUUUUCAUAAUCUGAAUUAUGAGAACUUGGCAAAUUGAAAUGGAAAUAUUAUAGCAAAAGACUGGUUUAGUCUUUAUGUAAGACAUCAUGAAUCGUGUCCCAUAUGCUUCGGAUAUAGGAUCGAUUACAUGUGCUAUAUUCAUCCGUUCUAAAAUUUUCCAAAUGCCUGGGGCAUUAAGAAGGGAAAAGGUUUAGAACUGGAUAUGACUAAAAGGAUUAAACAAUUGUCGAGGACAAUCUAAGGUUUACCAAAGAUUGGUUGCUCAAGGACAAUUGGAAGUAUAGUGAUAAUUCUGGAAGGACCAUAUUGACAUAAUCUGUAAGGAGGCAACUCUUGUUCAGAAGUGAUAGUCAAAAUGGAAUCUGGAAAUGUUUCAAAGUUAGAAUUUUCAAUCUGUGUAAGAUUAAGGAAACUUAAUGCAAGAAGGAUAUUUCCAAGGAGUUGAUCUCCUUUGGAAUACUCUGUAAUGAUUGUUGCCAAGUCUUUGUGACUUUGUGCAUAAUCGUUACAAGAGGAUCAAUGCAUAUAAGUUUAGAAUCUAACAGAUUUCAGUAAAUGGCAUGAAUUUGGAAUUCUUGCAUUUGCAGUAAGGAUUUGGGAGUGUGAAAAGAGAAUCAUUGAAGUUAUGUUCAAUUGAUCUAGUUCACAAAGUAAAGAUCAUAGACAAACAUAGUAUGCAUACUUGGUGUGUGGCAUGACUAGUGUUUAAGAAAACAUAGUGUACAUGCUUGGAGCAUGGGACAACUAUUGUUUUAAAUUCAAGAAUAAAGUUGAUAGCUGAAACAGUAUACAAUGAAUAAUGUGUAAUCAUAUGGUGAUAAAUAAAAGGUGUUUUAUUUAUGUUCAAAGGGUUGAUACCAUAUUGGAUUCAAUUAUUAUUGUGUUUCACUUUGCAUGUUUUGACUUCCCGAAUAAACUGGGUUAUUCUUCCGGAAUGACUAAGUUAUUCAAACCAUCCACAGUCGGUCAUAUUUUGGAAGUAGAUAUGAAUCAUUGUCAUGGGUUGGCUUGUAGGGUCUAAGGUGUUGGACAUUGGGCUGCAACACUCAUGAGUGCUCAUAAGUUCUGAGUAUUGGAUUCAACCCGCGCUCAUUGGAAUCACUUCAUGGAUUUUAUCACGAGUGAUCAUGAGACGAUAAUAUCUUAUAUUCUUCAAACCUAGAGAUAUGAGUUGUUACUAUGAGUUGAUAGUACAUUGAUUGCACGAAAACGCAUUUGGUAACUCGGUGCUAUAAAACGUGCCUUUGUGUAUGAUUCAACAAGUAGUAGAACAAGCCAUAUGAGUCGAAGUUUAUCCAUUCCUUUUACCUUCGGGAUAAAAGCGAUAUCUGUGGGCCCCUCGAUGAUUUGAUGAUGACAAAUGGAAGUGCUCGGCCGGGCCAGGACUGAUUUGAUUUGUUCAAUUAGUCAGUCGUCAUAAAUCGGAAAUCGGGAAACAACAAAUGGACAGAGAGAAUGAUUAUAAUCCAUGUCUCAGUCCAUAUGAUAUCUAGAAUGGAGGAAUAUAUGAUCCCUUAUCUAAUGGACAAGUCAUUGACAAAGGUCAGAGUUCAUCUACAAGGUCAGAGUUCGACAGAAGCUUUUGAGAGCUACGAUUGCCAGUUGGUUCCUGAAGUCAUACGCAAUAAUAGUUUUAGACUUAUCCAAGUGGGAGACUGUUGGAUUAAUGUCUAAGUCCAUAACUAUAAUUGGUAAGACUUGACCCGACCCGGCAUGGUCCAUUUGGGUUGCAUGGCAUCAUGCACUUGGAUAGACUAUAAUGAGAGAAAUAAGACACUUAUGGUUAUUAAUAUAUUAUAAGUUCUAGUAUAUUAAUAAUAAGAAUAAUAAGAUUAUUUAAUUAGUAUUGAUCAAGAAUUAAUCUAGGAUUAAUUAAGUGAUCAAAAGAAGACUAAUUAAAUAUAUGGGUUGAUUGUGUAAAUCAUCCAUACUUGUAUAGUGGGCUAAUGCUCCAUGGAUAAUCAAGUUGGGCUAAAACCCAUAGGAUGGUCCAUGGAUGCUCCAUGGUGUAUUUGAACCCAUGGAUCCAAGGAAAUGGAAAGUCAUGACAAUUAGGGUUUACCCUAAUUGUAACACUAUAUAAAGAUCUUAUUCUUGACAAAAAUCGGCCACUAGUGUGAGUAAUGGAAGGGCUAGCCGAUUUCAUGAAGUGUAGAUUUCUCUCAAGUUAUUCCAAGUGUAUUUGGUGUUGUGUGAACCAUUUGAGGUGUCACACUUGGGGCAGUAGGCACUCAAGCUUCAUGAAGACUUUCUACAUCAAAGAGGUAUGUAUUCUAUCUUGUUACUCUCAUUGUUUUGUAUGCUAGAUUAGGAUAAUACCUUGGAAGUUCUUAUUUGCAUGUAUAAUAGAGAAAACAUAGAUCCAAGGUAUUUAGGGUUGCAUGUACACUUAGGAGUGUUAGAAUGCUCAAAACCCAACAGUGGUAUUAGAGCCUAGGCUUGUUUUCUUGUUAUACUUGCAAAACAAGCUGGAAAAUCAAGUUUUGAUGCUGUCUGCCUAGCAGACUCGCCGAGUCCAUGAAUGGACUCGCCGAGUCCAAGGAAAAAUGCAUCCAACUCAUCACCCUGUGACCAACCUCACCUCCAACGGAUUGGGGUGCGACUUCUCCGCUGAUACAACAGCUCAAAUGGUGGAGCACGAUACUAGAAUGAAAGUUGUUGGUGUAGGAGAACUCUGCAAGCGGUAGGCAGGAGUCCCAGCUCCCACCAAAAUCAAUGACAUAGGCCCACAACAUAUCCUCGAG